AUUGAACGCUGGCGGCAUGCCUUACACAUGCAAGUCGAACGGUAACAGGUCUUCGGAUGCUGACGAGUGGCGAACGGGUGAGUAAUACAUCGGAACGUGCCCGAUCGCGGGGGAUAACGAAGCGAAAGCUUUGCUAAUAGCGCAUAAGAUCUACGGAUCAAAGCAGGGGACCGCAAGGCCUUGAGCGAACGGAUGCGCCGAUGGCAGAUUAGGUAGUUGGGGGGAUAAAAGCUUACCAAGCCGACGAUCUGUAGCUGGUCUGAGAGGACGACCAGCCACACUGGGACGGAGACACGGCCCAGACUCCUACGGGAGGCAGCAGUGGGGAAUUUUGGACAAUGGGCGAAAGCCUGAUCCAGCCAUGCCGCGUGCAGGAUGAAGGCCUUCGGGUUGUAAACUGCUUUUGUACGGAACGAAAAGACUCUGGUUAAUACCUGGGGUCCAUGACGGUACCGUAAGAAUAAGCACCGGCUAACUACGUGCCAGCCGCCGCGGUAAGAC
rnacentral:rRNA from 1 species